UGGGGAAUAUUGCACAAUGGACGGAAGUCUGAUGCAGCAACGCCGCGUGCGGGAUGAUGGCCUUCGGGUUGUAAACCGCUUUUUCUCAUGACGAAGUUUUUUGACGGUAGUGGGGGAAGAAGCACCGGCUAACUACGUGCCAGCAGCCGCGGUGAUACGUAGGGUGCGAGCGUUGUCCGGAAUUAUUGGGCGUAAAGAGCUUGUAGGCGGUUUGUCGCGUCGAUAGUGCAAACUCAGUGCUUAACGCUGAGCCUGCUGUUGAUACGGGCAGACUAGAGGAAGGUAGGGGAGAAUGGAAUUCCCGGUGGAGCGGUGGAAUGCGCAGAUAUCGGGAGGAACACCGGUGGCGAAGGCGGUUCUCUGGGCCUUUCCUGACGCUGAGAAGCGAAAGCGUGGGGAGCGAACAGG
rnacentral:rRNA from 1 species